GCCUUGACUCAUCUGGAAUAUUUUUCACAGACGCCAUUUUCUUAGACUCGCCAUGCGGAGCAUAUGAGCACGCAAAACAGCGAAUUAAGUGUUUAAUCUUACUCGCAAUAUGUCUUUUGUAAUAUCAUAUCGUUUUAUAGCGAUAUUUAUGAGGUGUGUGCGCCUAAACGUUUUUUAAAGACAUUUCUUUCACUCGCGAGGCGGACCAGACGAGGACGUUUCUUUUUAAAAGGGAAACGCCGAAAGUUACGUUAAGUGUUUUAUCUCAUUUAUAUGUAUUUCACAACAUCAUAUUGAUUUAUAGCGAUAUUUGUGUGAUGUGUACUCCUAAACUUUUUCUCAGAGAGAUAUUUUUCUUCUCUCAUGAUGCGGAGAAGACUGGCAAAUUGGUUUUAUCACGAAAAACACCGAAAAUGCAUUUGAAUGGCUAUGUAUUGCCGCAGAAGUCGCUUUUAACAGGGGAAACAUAAGAAAGAGACGUUUUCUUUCACUGGAGAUGCGGAGCAGACUUGGAAGUUGGUCUUCUCGAGGAAAACACUGAAUGGUUCAUGCUGGCUUAACAGAAAAAUCAAAAGGAGAUGAUGUGCUUGAAGAGUAUGAAGCCACCAAUACAUUAAGUGUGAUGAGAAGAGCUUUGUUAGGACACAUACCAGAGACAUGGGUAAGCCGGGUCGUAAGCCACUAUUGCAUAUUUUAAGAUGAUUGAUUGUCAUGCUUAAUUUUUUUGAUUAUUAAACAAUAAUAAUAAAGAGUCUGAUCUCCUUCUAAAAAUGUUUCGUAAAAAAACGCAUCAAAUGUAUGUUUUUGGUAUGCUUUGUCAUUUAUGUACUGUCCCAUUUAUGUGCAUUCAUUUUGGUAGGAGUCCAACCAUAAGUGAACAGUAAAUGUUUACGUGUACUCAUGCCUUUCCACAGAUGCCAUGUAUGACAGUUUCUUCUGUUGAUUAUUCAAAAUAUCUAUUUUUUGUGUUCCUCAGAAGACAGAAGGUCCUACAGGUGUGAAACCACAUGAGUAUAAAUAAAUGAUGACAGAAUUUUCAGUUUUGGGUUAACUAUUCUUAUAUUGUAAGUGAUACUUGUCCCUGACAUUUCACCUGAUAAAUGGAUGUGCUUUUUGUUUUUUCUCCUAUUUUACAGGAGCACUUUUGUGAUGCUGCAAGUGGGAGUUGAGUAUCUUGCUUGGCUGAAAGCUGCAGAGAAACACAUCUCGUCUUGCUGAAAACUACUCUUUACAAGGAGGUCCAAACACCAUUAGCAGAGACUUUGUUCAGUGAGCAUUAACAUGCAUUCUGCCUGGAUGCUAAUGAAUGGGAUGCUGUUGUCUAAACUGAUAAAUGUAAGCGUUAUAAACCUCAUGACAUUAAGUGUACAUAUGGACCAAAUAAGAAUAUGUAUUUUCACUGAUUUGCUUUGACAUUAUGAUGUUUUAAUUGUUGUAAGAACAUGUUCUUUACAUGCAUUGAAUGUGAAAACAUUUUUCUCAGGGAAAAAUAUUUACAAUGUUUCAAUUAAAAAUUG